rnacentral:rRNA from 1 species
GUUUGAUCCUGGCUCAGAGCGAACGCUGGCGGCGUGCUUAACACAUGCAAGUCGAACGCGCAGCAUUCUGUAGCAAUACAGGGUGUGGGCGCGUGGCGAACGGGUGCGUAACACGUGGAUAACCUUCCUUCAGGUGGGGAAUAACCCAGUGAAAAUUGGGCUAAUACCGCAUAACAAAACGAUGAGACAUCUUGUUGUUUUCAAAGGCGCAAGUCGCCAGAAGAGGGAUCCGCGGCCGAUUAGCUUGUUGGCGAGGUAAUGGCUCACCAAGGCAAUGAUCGGUAGCCGGACUGAGAGGUUGGCCGGCCACACUGGAACUGAGACACGGUCCAGACUCCUACGGGAGGCAGCAGUGGGGAAUCUUGCACAAUGGGCGAAAGCCUGAUGCAGCAACGCCGCGUGGGGGAUGAAGCUUCUCGGAGUGUAAACCCCUUUCGACCCGGAAGAAAGCCCGCAAGGGUUUGACGGUACGGGUAUAAGAAGCCCCGGCUAACUACGUGCCAGCAGCCGCGGUAAAACGUAGGGGGCCAGCGUUGCUCGGAAUUACUGGGCGUAAAGGGUCCGUAGGCGGUGUGGCAAGUCGGUAGUGAAAUCUCUGGGCUUAACCCAGAGGCUGCUGCCGAAACUGCCGUGCUAGAGUGUGAGAGAGGCGAGUGGAAUUACGGGUGUAGCGGUGAAAUGCGUAGAUAUCCGUAGGAACAUCCGAGGCGAAAGCGGCUCGCUGGAUCACAACUGACGCUGAGGGACGAAAGCUAGGGGAGCAAACAGGAUUAGAUACCCUGGUAGUCCUAGCCCUAAACCAUCAGGACUUGGGGUGUGCCCUGUA